AUUUUUUUUUUUUCUGGUUUUUGUUUUAGGGUUUUGGCUUUUAAGUUAGCGUUAGGGCUCAUGCUGAUAACGUGUUUAAGGAAAAUAUGAUUUGCUGAGAGAAUAGAUAGGAGAAUUGUGUGUCAUAUGAUUGAUAAUAGGAGCCCUUUAUAUAGGAAUUUACAGAGUACAUAAAAUGUAAUAGAAUCCGAACAUUACUAGGAAAUCUAGAACCUUCUCCGAUUACAACUCUAGGACUAAACCCUAGUUUGAAGAGCACACUCAAUGUCGAUAUCCUUCAACAGUGAGAUCAUGGAAAUCAUUGCAUUUUUUGAUGCAUGAGGAGUUAGACUAAUAAAAAUCAUGGUACCGCAUAUAGGUAAUAACUGUGAAUUGAAUGGGUAGAUCAGCAACCAUUACCAAUCUUUUGAAGGGAAAAAUUCGGCAUUACAUUGCAUCCAGGAUCGACUGCCUCUUGGUAGUGAAAGUUCAUCAUCGUCUACCAGCAUUCUAGUUAGGGUAAAGCUAUGCGCAGGUGCAUUGGUAUUGUUGUUGGCUAGCUCAUCUAUCUCUGACAUACUUAAAAAAUUAAAAUCCAUCACAGGCUGUGGGGAAAAGCAAGGUCUUGGAACAAAUGAAAUGUGCUCAUCUGAGAUUCCAGGAGGAGCAUCAAGUACUGGCGACCAAGUUUGCCCUCGUAAAAAUCCUUUAGGAAUUGCUUAAUCAGCAUACAACAGCUUCACAUGAAACCCAAUCAACGUGACCCCAAGGUUGCUCUGGUAUAAUUCAUGGCCUUCUGGUCCAAGCAUCUAUAGGAUGCUUUGAAAUGUCAACGUCUAGCAGACCCACCUGAAGUACCUAGCUGCUGGUGCAAAUGAAGUCCCUAGCUACUCUUGCCAACUCCUUUUCCUGAUGAUACCAGUAUGUUCUUAAAGUUGUCAUAAUUUUGCUAGUGUAACACUGUAACCAAGUCCACUAUCGGUCAACCAAGUUUGUUUUGGGCUUCUGUCUCGCAUUAGGCCAAGCCACUAUGGAUUUUGUUUUGUUUCUUCUGGGCCUGUGUGCAUCUUGCUGGGUCUAUGUGUCUUUUGUUACGUGGUCUUCAAGACAUUUGAUACGAUUAUCUUGAAGUACAAUCCUUAGUAUAAAAAUCACGAUAACAAAAA